rnacentral:rRNA from 1 species
GACGAACGCUGGCGGCGUGCUUAACACAUGCAAGUCGAACGGUGAAGCGCCUUCCUUUUUGGUGGGUGUGGAUGAGUGGCGAACGGGUGAGUAACACGUGAGUAACCUGCCCCCUUCUUCUGGAUAACCGCAUGAAAGUGUGGCUAAUACGGGAUAUUCUGGGUCUGUCGCAUGAUGGGUCUGGGAAAGAUAUUGUUUCGGUGGGGGAUGGGCUCGCGGCCUAUCAGCUUGUUGGUGGGGUGAUGGCCUACCAAGGCGGUGACGGGUAGCCGGCCUGAGAGGGUGGACGGUCACACUGGGACUGAGACACGGCCCAGACUCCUACGGGAGGCAGCAGUGGGGAAUAUUGCACAAUGGGCGCAAGCCUGAUGCAGCGACGCCGCGUGAGGGAUGGAGGCCUUCGGGUUGUGAACCUCUUUCGCCAGUGAAGCAGGCCUGCCUCGUUUGUGGGUGGGUUGACGGUAGCUGGAUAAGAAGCGCCGGCUAACAACGUG